UUCUCUUCUAACUACAAGCAGCCAGAAAGAGC
rnacentral:piRNA from 1 species